rnacentral:rRNA from 1 species
CCUACGGGUGGCAGCAGUGAGGAAUAUUGGUCAAUGGACGAGAGUCUGAACCAGCCAAGUAGCGUGAAGGAUGACUGCCCUAUGGGUUGUAAACUUCUUUUAUAUGGGAAUAAAAUGUUCCACGUGUGGGAUUUUGUAUGUACUAUAUGAAUAAGGAUCGGCUAACUCCGUGCCAGCAGCCGCGGUAAUACGGAGGAUCCGAGCGUUAUACGGAUUUAUUGGGUUUAAAGGGAGCGUAGGUGGAUUGUUAAGUCAGUUGUGAAAGUUUGCGGCUCAACCGUAAAAUUGCAUUUUAAACUGGCAGUCUUGAGUACAGUAGAGGUGGUCGGAAUUCGUGGUGUAGCGGUGAAAUGCUUAGAUAUCACGAAGAACUCCGAUUGCGAAGGCAGUUCACUGGACUGCAACUGACACUGAGGCUCGAAAGUGUGGGUAUCAAACAGGAUUAGAUACCCCUGUAGUC